rnacentral:rRNA from 1 species
UACGUAGGGUGCAAGCGUUGUCCGGAAUUAUUGGGCGUAAAGAGCGUGUAGGCGGCCCGAUUAGUCCGCUGUGAAAGUCCAGGGCUCAACCCUGGAAUGCCGGUGGAUACUGUCGGGCUAGAGUCCGGAAGGGGCGAGUGGAAUUCCUGGUGUAGCGGUGAAAUGCGCAGAUAUCAGGAGGAACACCAAUGGCGAAGGCAGCUCGCUGGGACGUGACUGACGCUGAGACGCGAAAGCGUGGGGGAGCGAACAGG